GGCUGUGGCUCUCCAGGACCAAUGCUCGCCACCCCUGGUCUAGACAGUGUACAAAUAUAUGACAUUUUUAUGGUGGUCUGUCAGUUAUUAUUUAUAUGAAAACAGAGGACGACUGAAGUAUGAACAAAAUGCAACAAUACUGAGAUGUUGCACAAUGCAGCUGUUUGGACUCUCAUUCUGAUGGCACCCAUCCACUGCAGAAGAUCCAUUGGUGAGCAAGUGAUGGGAUACAAAAAUUCUCCAAAUCUCUUCUGAUAAAGAAACAAACUCAUCCACCUCUUGGAUGGCCUAGGCCUUUACAUGUGCAUUAUGAAGAGUCUUCUUCACUUCUUCUUCAUUCAUCACAACAAUCAAGUACCGAGGCCUGUCGACCUCACUCAAAUGGAAGCCUUUGUUUUCAUUUACGACCGUUUACACAAACAUCACCAACGUUCUCCAGAGUGUCAUGUGAUGAAACCCAUGAAAGGGCAAGGCUUGUUUAAAUGGCAUUUUGAUGGCAUUUGUGUGCCCCCUUUAACCUUUCGCUGAGUUUCAUUUUUCUACUUUGAUUAAAUUUUAUUUUGGC
ensembl:lncRNA